AAUUGCUACUGCACGGUGAUGAGAGGAGAAGCCGGCCAGGAAAUGCAGGAAGAUCGACAUGCCUUUGGACAGCUGCAGCGCGGAACUUAGCUCUUCCGAAGAGUUGUUGGAGGACGACGACGUCUCCCUAGAUUCCUCCAUCCUUGGGAGCCCUGAAGACCGCUGGCGCUGGCGAGAGCACGGCUAGGCAGCCACACAGGCUCAGGCAAGGAUGCGCCGCACUCCCUACCCUCUCCCAAGCUCCCGCUGCAAGGCUCGGGAUCGAGAGCGGAUGCUCGCUGCUCCGAGAGCCUCCCUCCUGUCUCUCUCGGGCUUAUUCUCCACCUCCUUGUCUACGUCCUCCGCGCUCCCACGCAUUCCAACUCGCGCCUCCCCCUUCUCUUGGCUGCGCCGCCUGGAUCACUCGUCUCUGCUGGUAACAACGCGCUGCUCCUCUUGGGGGCGGGGUGGGGGGGUGCGGACUCUGACCCCCACGCACUGCCAUUAGGCUUGGGAGUAACCCUGAGGCUUCCGCCCAGUCCACAACGGUCCCACACGCGGAGAGAAAGGAGGUAGCCCACUCAGAGAGGGGGAACAGAUGGAGGGUUAGCUGUCCUGAAUAACUAAAACACAAAGUAAGGAUGCCCCCAAACUCACCCCUGGGUAGAAAAUAGUUAGAUUCCAAGAUGUUUUGCCAACUUUGCUUUUGUCCAAGUACACCUGUCUUCCCCACCCUCCCCAAAGACUGGUAGGUAAAUAGAUAUCACCAACCAACGAGAUAGGGGGGCGGUUAAUGUGGGGAUUAAACCACUCAUUUUUGGAAUCUUGAGGCCCCGGGUUCAAAACCUGCUCUUUGUUGAUUUAUCUUGUGAUCUAGCAAGUUACUACAUCGUUUCGCCUCUGUUUUCAUCAGUAAAAUGGUCACGAUGGUGCUACUUACCUCAAAGCAUUCUGGGGCUUAAAUGUGGUUAGUGCCAUGGACAAAGGUAUGGACGCUGCAUAGAGUGAGCAGCCAAAAAAAAAAAAGUUCUAUGGGAAAAAUAUUGUCAGAUCAUGGUCAAGCAAGUUUUCCAAAGUUGAAGUCACAAUAAAGGAUACAGUCCCUAUCUAUGUUUAAGAGAGGGUAAUUAUUCAAAAUCUGAGGGCUUCUGUAAGAGCUGCAAAAAUGGUAAUCUCACCUUCCAUCAGGAGAAAUAUCCACUGUUUAUUGGGCAUCUAAAUGUGCAAGACACAUUCGAGUUGCUGUGGGUUACAAAGUUGAACUAUCUUGGAGUAAAAUGAGCCAAAGAGAAUAGUACCUUUUCCAAACAAGGCUCUGCCUGUGAGAAUGGAUGAAGUGGAUCCAGAUCUCUAUUUUGUGGCCUCCAAGAAAAAAAAAUGUCGUUUCUAUAAAGCACGUGCACAAACAACCUAACACAGGACAAAAUGUGAGUUCCAAAAAGCAUAUAAAAAGUUCUAUAUGAGUUUCCUAGGAGAAAUGAUUUAUUAUCUUGCUAAUGGGACCAAGAAAGGCUUGAUAAAAGAGGUGGUAUUUGAAAUGUAUCUUGAAAAUUCCUAGAUAUAUAUCUGAUAGAAAUAGAGAGAAAAGACAUUCCAGAUGGAACAGCAAAAGUAAAGGCAUGACACCCAGGAGAGUCCAUGGGAAUCUGUAAUUAGUCUACUGGAAUCCUAGUCCCUACCCAAGGCUUACUAAAGCAGAAUAUAAAAGUAUGAGAUCCAGGAAUCUGAGUCCCUCUUUUUUCCAUGAUUCAUAUCCUGGUGCUCGGUAGCAGGUAGGACUGGGGCGGGGGAAGGCCCGAUAAAUCACCUUGGGCACAAAGUGUAAGGAAGUGUUACCCUGUAUUUGCAUGAUCCUGAUAGUGCCUGCCUUCUUAAAUUUUGCAUCGUUGGCAUCUCAGUUACCUCACCCAAGUCCCAGACUUGCUCUGUAGAUCAGUGUUUGCAAGAAAUGGAUCCAGUCGUUUUCAGUUCUGGCUGUACAUGGGAAUUACCAAGGAUGUAUGGCAACUUUCAAUACAGCCACAAUUUCGUUAACUUCCUAUAGAAACGUGCGUCCCCUUUCCUUGAAUCUGAAGGACUGUGACUGCUUGAAUGCAUAAAAUGCACCAGAAGUGAUGCUAUGUUUUCUGAGUCUAGGUAUAUAAAAAGCCUCACAGGGAGUUCCCUUUGUGGCUCAGUAGGUAAGGACCAGAUGCUGUCUCUGUGAGGAUGUGGAUUCAAUACCUGGCCUUGCUCCUUGGUUAAGGAUCUGGCAUUGCAGCAAGCUGCGGCAUAGUCUGCAGAUGUGGUUGAGAUCUGGUGUUGCUGUAGCUGUGGCAUAGGCCUGCAGCUGCAGAUCCAAUUCACCUUCUAGCCUGGGAACUUCUAUAUGCGACAGGUGUGGUGUAAAGAAAAAAAAAAAGCCUCGCCAUUCCAUCUUCUUCAGUGGAAUAUUUGCUCUGGAGCCUUGGGAUCGCUAUAGGAAAUAUGACUACCUUGAGCACCAUGCACCGAGGAAGCCCAAGCUAUUCGGAGAGGCAUCUGUAGUCACCCUGACUGAAAGUACCAGCUGAACCCAGCCUUUGAGUCAUUCCAGCCUAAGUGGCAGAAAAGUGAAUAAAGAAGUCUCUAGAUGAUUCCAGAACACAGCUAUUUGAGACACGCCUAGCCAUUUGUGUUAUCUCAGCCAAGAUCUCAGACAUCAUGGAACAGAGACACACCAUCCAUCAGUGCUGUGCCCUGUCUAAAUUUCUGACCCACAUAAAUCAGGAGCAUAAUAAAAUGGUUACUGUUUUAUACAAA
rnacentral:lncRNA from 1 species